GACGAACGCUGGCGGCGUGCUUAACACAUGCAAGUCGAACGGAAAGGCCCUGCUUUUGUGGGGUGCUCGAGUGGCGAACGGGUGAGUAACACGUGAGUAACCUGCCCUUGACUUUGGGAUAACUUCAGGAAACUGGGGCUAAUACCGGAUAGGAGCUCCUGCUGCAUGGUGGGGGUUGGAAAGUUUCGGCGGUUGGGGAUGGACUCGCGGCUUAUCAGCUUGUUGGUGGGGUAGUGGCUUACCAAGGCUUUGACGGGUAGCCGGCCUGAGAGGGUGACCGGCCACAUUGGGACUGAGAAACGGCCCAGACUCCUACGGGAGGCAGAAGUGGGGAAUAUUGCACAAUGGGCGGAAGCCUGAUGCAGCAACGCCGCGUGCGGGAUGACGGCCUUCGGGUUGUAAACCGCUUUCGCCUGUGACGAAGCGUGAGUGACGGUAAUGGGUAAAGAAGCAACGGCUAACUACGUG
rnacentral:rRNA from 1 species